GGAGAGGUGCCAGAGUGGACGAUUGGGGCGCACUCGAAAUGCGCUGUGGCCUUACCGGUCACCGUGGGUUCGAAUCCCACCCUCUCCGCCA
rnacentral:tRNA from 1 species